GAUGAACGCUGGCGGCGUGCCUAAUACAUGCAAGUCGAGCGAACGGACGAGAAGCUUGCUUCUCUGAUGUUAGCGGCGGACGGGUGAGUAACACGUGGAUAACCUACCUAUAAGACUGGGAUAACUUCGGGAAACCGGAGCUAAUACCGGAUAAUAUUUUGAACCGCAUGGUUCAAAAGUGAAAGACGGUCUUGCUGUCACUUAUAGAUGGAUCCGCGCUGCAUUAGCUAGUUGGUAAGGUAACGGCUUACCAAGGCAACGAUGCAUAGCCGACCUGAGAGGGUGAUCGGCCACACUGGAACUGAGACACGGUCCAGACUCCUACGGGAGGCAGCAGUAGGGAAUCUUCCGCAAUGGGCGAAAGCCUGACGGAGCAACGCCGCGUGAGUGAUGAAGGUCUUCGGAUCGUAAAACUCUGUUAUUAGGGAAGAACAUAUGUGUAAGUAACUGUGCACAUCUUGACGGUACCUAAUCAGAAAGCCACGGCUAACUACGUGCCAGCAGCCGCGGUAAUACGUAGGUGGCAAGCGUUAUCCGGAAUUAUUGGGCGUAAAGCGCGCGUAGGCGGUUUUUUAAGUCUGAUGUGAAAGCCCACGGCUCAACCGUGGAGGGUCAUUGGAAACUGGAAAACUUGAGUGCAGAAGAGGAAAGUGGAAUUCCAUGUGUAGCGGUGAAAUGCGCAGAGAUAUGGAGGAACACCAGUGGCGAAGGCGACUUUCUGGUCUGUAACUGACGCUGAUGUGCGAAAGCGUGGGGAUCAAACAGGAUUAGAUACCCUGGUAGUCCACGCCGUAAACGAUGAGUGCUAAGUGUUAGGGGGUUUCCGCCCCUUAGUGCUGCAGCUAACGCAUUAAGCACUCCGCCUGGGGAGUACGACCGCAAGGUUGAAACUCAAAGGAAUUGACGGGGACCCGCACAAGCGGUGGAGCAUGUGGUUUAAUUCGAAGCAACGCGAAGAACCUUACCAAAUCUUGACAUCCUUUGACAACUCUAGAGAUAGAGCCUUCCCCUUCGGGGGACAAAGUGACAGGUGGUGCAUGGUUGUCGUCAGCUCGUGUCGUGAGAUGUUGGGUUAAGUCCCGCAACGAGCGCAACCCUUAAGCUUAGUUGCCAUCAUUAAGUUGGGCACUCUAAGUUGACUGCCGGUGACAAACCGGAGGAAGGUGGGGAUGACGUCAAAUCAUCAUGCCCCUUAUGAUUUGGGCUACACACGUGCUACAAUGGACAAUACAAAGGGCAGCGAAACCGCGAGGUCAAGCAAAUCCCAUAAAGUUGUUCUCAGUUCGGAUUGUAGUCUGCAACUCGACUACAUGAAGCUGGAAUCGCUAGUAAUCGUAGAUCAGCAUGCUACGAUGAAUACGUUCCCGGGUCU
rnacentral:rRNA from 1 species